GACGAACGCUGGCGGCGUGCCUAAUACAUGCAAGUAGAACGCUGAAGGAGGAGCUUGCUUCUCUGGAUGAGUUGCGAACGGGUGAGUAACGCGUAGGUAACCUGCCUGGUAGCGGGGGAUAACUAUUGGAAACGAUAGCUAAUACCGCAUAAUAGUAGAUGUUGCAUGACAUUUGCUUAAAAGGUGCAAUUGCAUCACUACCAGAUGGACCUGCGUUGUAUUAGCUAGUUGGUGGGGUAACGGCUCACCAAGGCGACGAUACAUAGCCGACCUGAGAGGGUGAUCGGCCACACUGGGACUGAGACACGGCCCAGACUCCUACGGGAGGCAGCAGUAGGGAAUCUUCGGCAAUGGACGGAAGUCUGACCGAGCAACGCCGCGUGAGUGAAGAAGGUUUUCGGAUCGUAAAGCCCUGUUGUAAGAGAAGAACGAGUGUGAGAGUGGAAAGUUCACACUGUGACGGUAUCUUACCAGAAAGGGACGGCUAACUACGUG
rnacentral:rRNA from 1 species